rnacentral:rRNA from 1 species
GAUGAACGCUGGCGGCAUGCCUAAUACAUGCAAGUCGAGCGAAGCGGGGACGGGUGAGUAACACGUAGAUACCCUCCUAUAAGACUGGGAUAACUUCGGGAAACCGGAGCUAAUCCGGAUACUUCUAGCUGGAUCAUCGCUGCAUUAGCUAGUUGGUAAGGUAACGGCUGACCAAGGCAACGAUGCAUAGCCGAUCUGAGCGGGGGGUCAGCCACACCGGAACUGAGACACGGUCCAGACUCCUACGGGAGGCAGCAGUAGGGAAUCUUGCGCAAUGGGCGCAAGCCUGACGUAGCAACGCCGCGUGAUGGAUGAAGGUCUUCGGAUCGUAAAACUCUGUUAUUAGGGAAGCGGUACCUAAUCAGAAAGCAACGGCUAACUACGUGCCAGCAGCCGCGGUAAUAC